rfam:Brassica oleracea var. oleracea cultivar TO1000 chromosome C3, whole genome shotgun sequence
GACUUUGUGGCCCAAUGGAUAAGGCGCUGGUCUACGAUAUAUCAUACAACCAGAGAUUAUUGGAUCGAUCCCCAACAGAGUCU